rnacentral:rRNA from 1 species
AGAAUCAACGCUGGCGGCGUGCCUAACACAUGCAAGUCGCACGAGAAAGGGUAGCAAUACCUGAGUACAGUGGCGCACGGGUGAGUAACACGUGAAUAAUCUACCUCCGAGUGGGGAAUAACUGAGAGAAAUCUUAGCUAAUACCGCAUAAUACCCACGGGUCAAAGCAGCAAUGCGCUUGGAGAGGAGUUCGCGGCAGAUUAGUUAGUUGGCGGGGUAAUGGCCCACCAAGACGAUGAUCUGUAUCCGGCCUGAGAGGGCGCACGGACACACUGGAACUGAAACACGGUCCAGACUCCUACGGGAGGCAGCAGUGGGGAAUUUUGCGCAAUGGGGGAAACCCUGACGCAGCAACGCCGCGUGGAGGAUGAAGCCCCUUGGGGUGUAAACUCCUUUCGAUCGGGAAGAUAAUGACGGUACCGAUAUAAGAAGCCCGGCUAACUUCGCGCCAGCAGCCG